CCAGGGCGGGCCACUCAGUCACACUCCCGCCUCCGCUCCACGCAGAUAACCGGAGGCCACAGCAGCUGGGCGAGGAGGAGAGCCCGGCUCCAUGUCCCAGCUGGUCUCUGGAAGGACAUCACUGAACCAAACGCUGGUGUCUCUUGGUAAACAAUCAAUGCGUGGAAACACAGGUAAGAAGGAGGCGACCGCCAUCACGCGCAAACCUGAGGUCUUCUGUGAACUCACCUCCUAGUCCCGACAACCCCAGGAGGUAGGGUUUUCCCCAGGCCCGUCUUACCCAUGGGGAAACUUCGGCUUGGAAAAAUGAACCAACUUACCUUACGCAGCCCACCGACUCAACCGACGUGGAUCUGAGCAAACUCCGGGAGACUGUGAAGGACAGAGAAGCCUGGCGUGCUGCAGUCCGUGGGGUCGCCAAGAGUCGGACAUGACUUAGUGACUGAACGACAACAACCUUAAAAAGCAGAGAGCCAGGAUUUGAACCCACCAAGUUCUUUCUGGCGUCCCCCCAGAGGGCACGGUCUUAAAACACUGCAGCAAAUGAGAGGCUCUAAAGCCUGCCCUGUCCACUGCCUGUGUUACCGCCUCUGGUCCUUGGGCUCGAAUCAACAGGAAUUGGUGAGAAGCCGGGUCUUUGUGGGAGCAGGGCUGGAGGAGAGGCCUUAACGUCUGGGAGGGAAGCCAGGGUCACCCUGAGAGUACACGCAGGAGGCCUGGCCAAUCUCCUAAAAAAAUUGGAAACAAGACGGACCCCCCGGCUCUCCCAGACUCUUUCCUGGCGCCAUGCCUUCCACGAGCAGAUCCUGUUUAUUGAGGUUUAUAUAAGUAAUUUAUCAACAAAGAAAACCAGCCUGGCUGCCCCCCAAAUGACCAUGAAAAACGACGAUACUAACCGACGGUGACACACCACGCACGGGACAGGUGAC